rnacentral:rRNA from 1 species
GCUGGAAUUGCUGUAAUGGCAGGUCAGCAUACUGCCGUGAAUACGUUCCCGGGCCCUUGUACACACCGCCCGUCACACCAUGAGAGUUGGAGAUACCCGAAGCCUGUGAGCUAACAAACGAGGCAGCAGUCGAAGGUAGAAUCAAUGAUUGGGGUGAAGUCGUAACAAGGUACC